UUGUUACUCCCUCUGGCCGGAAUUACUUGUCGAAAUAUUACAUGUAUCUAGGCACUUUUUAAACAUAGAUACAUCCAUAUUUUGGCGAAUUUGAGACAAGUAAUAUGGGUCGGAGGGAGUAAUAG
rnacentral:pre_miRNA from 1 species